CGUAGGUGCAAGCGUUGUCCGGAAUUAUUGGGCGUAAAGAGCUCGUAGGCGGUUGUCGCGUCUGGUGUGAAAGUCCAUCGCUUAACGGUGGAUUGGCGCUGGGUACGGGCAGGCUAGAGUGUAGUAGGGGAGACUGGAAUUCUCGGUGUAACGGUGGAAUGUGUAGAUAUCGGGAAGAACACCAAUGGCGAAGGCAGGUCUCUGGGCUAUUACUGACGCUGAGGAGCGAAAGCGUGGGGAGCGAACAGGAUU
rnacentral:rRNA from 1 species